rnacentral:piRNA from 1 species
UUCCUCUUGGAGGUGCUGAGGAUUAAAUGA